AAGAGUUUGAUCAUGGCUCAGAUUGAACGCUGGCGGCAGGCCUAACACAUGCAAGUCGAACGGUAACAGGAAGCAGCUUGCUGCUUCGCUGACGAGUGGCGGACGGGUGAGUAAUGUCUGGGAAACUGCCUGAUGGAGGGGGAUAACUACUGGAAACGGUGGCUAAUACCGCAUAACGUCGCAAGACCAAAGAGGGGGACCUUCGGGCCUCUUGCCAUCAGAUGUGCCCAGAUGGGAUUAGCUAGUUGGUGAGGUAACGGCUCACCAAGGCGACGAUCCCUAGCUGGUCUGAGAGGAUGACCAGCCACACUGGAACUGAGACACGGUCCAGACUCCUACGGGAGGCAGCAGUGGGGAAUAUUGCACAAUGGGCGCAAGCCUGAUGCAGCCAUGCCGCGUGUAUGAAGAAGGCCUUCGGGUUGUAAAGUACUUUCAGCGGGGAGGAAGGUGUUGUGGUUAAUAACCACAGCAAUUGACGUUACCCGCAGAAGAAGCACCGGCUAACUCCGUGCCAGCAGCCGCGGUAAUACGGAGGGUGCAAGCGUUAAUCGGAAUUACUGGGCGUAAAGCGCACGCAGGCGGUCUGUCAAGUCGGAUGUGAAAUCCCCGGGCUCAACCUGGGAACUGCAUUCGAAACUGGCAGGCUUGAGUCUUGUAGAGGGGGGUAGAAUUCCAGGUGUAGCGGUGAAAUGCGUAGAGAUCUGGAGGAAUACCGGUGGCGAAGGCGGCCCCCUGGACAAAGACUGACGCUCAGGUGCGAAAGCGUGGGGAGCAAACAGGAUUAGAUACCCUGGUAGUCCACGCCGUAAACGAUGUCUACUUGGAGGUUGUGCCCUUGAGGCGUGGCUUCCGGAGCUAACGCGUUAAGUAGACCGCCUGGGGAGUACGGCCGCAAGGUUAAAACUCAAAUGAAUUGACGGGGGCCCGCACAAGCGGUGGAGCAUGUGGUUUAAUUCGAUGCAACGCGAAGAACCUUACCUGGUCUUGACAUCCACGGAAGUUUUCAGAGAUGAGAAUGUGCCUUCGGGAACCGUGAGACAGGUGCUGCAUGGCUGUCGUCAGCUCGUGUUGUGAAAUGUUGGGUUAAGUCCCGCAACGAGCGCAACCCUUAUCCUUUGUUGCCAGCGAUUAGG
rnacentral:rRNA from 1 species